GUUUGGUGUAGGAAAAAUCCGGUUCAAGCUCGUGGCUGUGGUGUAGGAAAACAGAUGGCAUCCACAUGGCAUCCACAGUUAUUCCUGAUGAUGUACCGGACUUUCUUGAAGUACGAACACGACCGUUGAACGGGCUGCGUGAAUUUUUCUCUAAGGGCUCGGGUGGUAGCCUUGAAAAGGGAAGAAAAUUGUAGGUAGUGUAACUCAAUCACAGUGGGAGGCAGGUAUAAGGAUCGGUGAUUUCAGACAUGCUCCUGAAAACAAAGUGUUCUCCCAAUUUUGCCCUCGUAUCCCUCCAAUUUGAAGCUUCUCUUCACGGAAUUGACAUCGUCUUCGGGAGGAGGGGAGAAGUUGUUGGGUGUGGAACUGGAUGAGAAGGGGGAUUUGAUUGCAACAGCGGCGGCAGAGACGGAGGUGGCGAGAGGAGGAAGGGGUGUUGUUGUCGUGUUGGAGGAGGAGUUAUCGAGGGUGUUGAGGCGUUCGCGGAAGCAGGAAUGGCCGAAUCCGGUGAACUGCUAGAUGGGGUGGCAAUCGGAGCUAAAGGAUGACCGCGGCGGUUGCUGCGACAGCGGCGGUGGAUGUGCAGCGGCGGUCCGCCGUCUGCUGCAGAAGUAGAGAUUCAUUCCAAAAUCUAGCAAGGGGCAGUUUAGUCGGAGGCAUCUUAUUUUCAGCCAUGAUCCGUUUCAACCAAACACACACAAAUUGGGCUGCAGUAGUUUGUUGGGUUGAACCAAACAACCCACAACUCUAUCCACCAAAUCAAGAUAAGCUCAUUUCCCACAAAGCCUGAUAAUUGUUGUAUCCGCUACCACCCGCCCCCUAAUUGUAAUAGAUAAAGAUUUGAUAAAUUUGUACAAUAGUACUUUAGCAGACUUCGGAGAU